AGAGUUUGAUCUUGGCUCAGAUUGAACGCUAGCGGCAUGCCUUACACAUGCAAGUCGAACGGCAGCGCGGACUUCGGUCUGGCGGCGAGUGGCGAACGGGUGAGUAAUGCAUCGGAACGUGCCCAGUAGCGGGGGAUAACUACGCGAAAGCGUAGCUAAUACCGCAUACGCCCUACGGGGGAAAGGGGGGGAUCGCAAGACCUCUCACUAUUGGAGCGGCCGAUGUCGGAUUAGCUAGUUGGUGGGGUAAAGGCCUACCAAGGCGACGAUCCGUAGCUGGUUUGAGAGGACGACCAGCCACACUGGGACUGAGACACGGCCCAGACUCCUACGGGAGGCAGCAGUGGGGAAUUUUGGACAAUGGGGGCAACCCUGAUCCAGCCAUGCCGCGUGUGCGAAGAAGGCCUUCGGGUUGUAAAGCACUUUUGGCAGGAAAGAAACGGCGCCGGAUAAUACCUGGCGUAACUGACGGUACCUGCAGAAUAAGCACCGGCUAACUACGUGCCAGCAGCCGCGGUAAUACGUAGGGUGCAAGCGUUAAUCGGAAUUACUGGGCGUAAAGUGUGCGCAGGCGGUUCGGAAAGAAAGAUGUGAAAUCCCAGGGCUCAACCUUGGAACUGCAUUUUUAACUCCCGAACUAGAGUAUGUCAGAGGGGGGUGGAAUUCCACGUGUAGCAGUGAAAUGCGUAGAUAUGUGGAGGAACACCGAUGGCGAAGGCAGCCCCCUGGGAUAAUACUGACGCUCAUGCACGAAAGCGUGGGGAGCAAACAGGAUUAGAUACCCUGGUAGUCCACGCCCUAAACGAUGUCAACUAGCUGUUGGGUUCUUCGGAGCUUGGUAGCGCAGCUAACGCGUGAAGUUGACCGCCUGGGGAGUACGGUCGCAAGAUUAAAACUCAAAGGAAUUGACGGGGACCCGCACAAGCGGUGGAUGAUGUGGAUUAAUUCGAUGCAACGCGAAAAACCUUACCUACCCUUGACAUGUCUGGAAUCCUGAAGAGAUUUAGGAGUGCUCGAAAGAGAACCGGAACACAGGUGCUGCAUGGCCGUCGUCAGCUCGUGUCGUGAGAUGUUGGGUUAAGUCCCGCAACGAGCGCAACCCUUGUCAUUAGUUGCUACGAAAGGGCACUCUAAUGAGACUGCCGGUGACAAACCGGAGGAAGGUGGGGAUGACGUCAGGUCCUCAUGGCCCUUAUGGGUAGGGCUUCACACGUCAUACAAUGGUCGGGACAGAGGGCAGCCAACCCGCGAGGGGGAGCCAAUCCCAGAAACCCGAUCGUAGUCCGGAUUGCAGUCUGCAACUCGACUGCAUGAAGUCGGAAUCGCUAGUAAUCGCGGAUCAGCAUGUCGCGGUGAAUACGUUCCCGGGUCUUGUACACACCGCCCGUCACACCAUGGGAGUGGGUUCUACCAGAAGUAGGUAGCCUAACCGUAAGGAGGGCGCUUACCACGGUAGGGUUCAUGACUGGGGUGAAGUCGUAACAAGGUAGCCGUAG
rnacentral:rRNA from 1 species